rnacentral:rRNA from 1 species
UGGGGAAUAUUGGACAAUGGGCGAAAGCCUGAUCCAACCAUGCCGCGUGAGUGAAGAAGGCCUUCGGGUUGUAAAGCUCUUUCAGACGGAAAGAAACGGUCGCGGCCAAUACCCGCGACUAAUGACGGUACCGUAAGAAGAAGCACCGGCUAACUACGUGCCAGCAGCCGCGGUAAUACGUAGGGUGCGAGCGUUAAUCGGAAUUACUGGGCGUAAAGCGUGCGCAGGCGGUUUGGUAAGACAGAUGUGAAAUCCCCGGGCUUAACCUGGGAACUGCAUUUGUGACUGCCAGACUAGAGUGUAGCAGAGGGGGGUAGAAUUCCACGUGUAGCGGUGAAAUGCGUAGAUAUAGGAAGGAACACCAGUGGCGAAGGCGACCACCUGGGAUAACACUGACGCUCAUGCACGAAAGCGUGGGGAGCAAACAGGAUUAGAUACCCUCGUAGUCCCUGAGCGGGCUGGCAAGGCGCAU